AAGAGUUUGAUCAUGGCUCAGAUUGAACGCUGGCGGCAGGCCUAACACAUGCAAGUCGAACGGUAACAGGAAGCAGCUUGCUGCUUCGCUGACGAGUGGCGGACGGGUGAGUAAUGUCUGGGAAACUGCCUGAUGGAGGGGGAUAACUACUGGAAACGGUGGCUAAUACCGCAUAACGUCGCAAGACCAAAGAGGGGGACCUUCGGGCCUCUUGCCAUCAGAUGUGCCCAGAUGGGAUUAGCUUGUUGGUGAGGUAACGGCUCACCAAGGCGACGAUCCCUAGCUGGUCUGAGAGGAUGACCAGCCACACUGGAACUGAGACACGGUCCAGACUCCUACGGGAGGCAGCAGUGGGGAAUAUUGCACAAUGGGCGCAAGCCUGAUGCAGCCAUGCCGCGUGUAUGAAGAAGGCCUUCGGGUUGUAAAGUACUUUCAGCGGGGAGG
rnacentral:rRNA from 5 species